GAUUGGAGUUACUGUAUAAUUGCAUACACCCAAUAUAACAUACAUUGCAUGUUCCUCACUGCUACAUUAGUGUAUUUCAUUCUGCCAUAUUUGCAAACUUGAUGUACAUUUUUAUUUUAAUUAAUUAACCUAAUACUUUCUUAAAAUACAUAUAAAACAAUGAAAAAACAGUUCAGACUAACAUUUCAUUAAAACAAACUAACAUAGAACUCUAUUUUUGGCUGUUCUUAAUUCUGGAAUCAGCCUGUGUACCUCUGUUGGCAGACAUAUCCAUGCUCAUUCCCUAAACUGAUCAUAUCUCUUGAAGUUAUCUGAUUCUUAUAACUUUCUGUGUUACGCUGCAUUGCUUGUCUGUCUCCUAAUUUCGAUUUAGCUAAAAUUGCUUUUAUUUGUCUGAUUAUCAGUUUACAAGGAAAGGCUUUUAUUGAUUUAUCUCCACAUGUAUUUUCUCUGUCAAAAU